CUGCGGUUUGGUCCCUGCCACAAAGAGAUGAAGAAAAUGCUCAAGCUGCUUCCUGUCACUGUAAUCUGAUUACAAUCCUCCCAAUGUCCCAAUGACUGAUUCAUGUUCUAAGGGACGAAGCCUGACUGUUUUUGCUCCACUAAUAUGACGGUCGUGUAGAUGCGGCGCUGCACUUCAACGGGGAAUUCUACAGAUGUUUUGACAAAUUUUCUCUGUGAAAAAGUCACUUGGUGAUUAGGUCAGCUAAUCAGGUCGGUUCCCCAACUUGCAAAUAGCAAGAGAUUGAGAAGUUGUGUACUGUAUUUGCAUAAGAGGAUCAUUAUGUGUCUUUUGGGAGUAAAGGUGAAAAGCUAAGAAGGAGAAAGGAAGGUGGUGUGAUCACCGUGUGUUUGCUGCGUGGGAUGAAAUCUGCUCGUGUGGUCAUUACACAUGUGUGACCAACAUCUGCUUCCGGGAUCAGCUGAGGAGGUUUGGUGGGCGGCCGAUGUGUGUCAAGAUGCGUGUGGUAGGGGCGCAUACGUACUGGGUCACUGGAAGGCUUGGUGGAGGCGAGGCAGCGUGGUGGGGGGCAGUACGUACUGGGUCACUGGAAGGCUUGGUGGAAGCGAG
ensembl:lncRNA